rnacentral:misc_RNA from 1 species
UCAACCCUCAAGCCUGGCUUGUUAUUGGGCUGGAUCCCUUUUUUGUUUUACCAAAGAGGGAUCGGCCUGAAAGAUAAUGGCGGUGUCACUAAAUGACUCCUGGUGCAGCGAGCUUUUUUAACUAGCAUACACUGGAAAGUCUUUAAUGAAACCUCGCCUGAAAAUCUCCAUUUUCUUCAA